rnacentral:rRNA from 1 species
CCUUCGGGUGUGAAUUAGCGGCGAACCGGUGAGGAACACGUGAAGAAUCUGCCUUCAACUCUGGGAUAACUCCGGGAAACCGGGGCUAAUACCGGAUAUGAGCCUUGAUCGCAUGAUCGGGGCUGGAAAGUUUUUCGGUUGAAGAUGACUUCGCGGCCUAUCAGCUUGUUGGUGAGGUAAUGGCUCACCAAGGCGACGACGGGUAGCCGGCCUGAGAGGGCGACCGGCCACACUGGGACUGAGACACGGCCCAGACUCCUACGGGAGGCAGCAGUGGGGAAUAUUGGGCAAUGGAGGAAACUCUGACCCAGCGACGCCGCGUGAGGGAUGAAGGCCUUCGGGUUGUAAACCUCUUUCAGUAGGGAAGAAGCGAAAGUGACGGUACCUACAGAAGAAGCACCGGCUAACUAUGUGCCAGCAGCCGCGGUAAUACAUAGGGUGCAAGCGUUGUCCGGAAUUAUUGGGCGUAAAGAGCUCGUAGGUGGUUCGAUACGUCGGAUGUGAAAAUCAGGGGCUCAACCCCUGACCUGCAUCCGAUACGGUCGAGCUGGAGUUUGGUAGGGGAGACUGGAAUUCCUGGUGUAGCGGUGGAAUGCGCAGAUAUCAGGAGGAACACCGAUGGCGAAGGCAGGUCUCUGGGCCAAUACUGACACUGAGGAGCGAAAGCGUGGGGAGCGAACAGGAUUAGAUACCCUGGUAGUCCGCGCCGUAAACGGUGGGCGCUAGUUGUGCGAACCUUCCACGGUUUGUGCGACGCAGCUAACGCAUUAAGCGCCCCGCCUGGGGAGUACGAUCGCAAGAUUAAAAC